GUGUGACGAAGAGCCACGUCUGAUGCCUGAGCCUGUCAAUUAACAAAGGAGUCACAGGGCUGGGAUCUGGGGUAUGGACACACUCUGAUGGCCUGGAGCAGGAAGUCCCAGCCCUGACUAACACAGAUGUGUCUGCAGGAGGCCACACUGGUUUGAAGAGCAGUGCAAAAGCAGAUACAAAACAGCAGGACCAGAAGGAGGAGAGGGUCCUGGAUGGGGCACGGGGUGAUCCAGGCUGUCCCUGGGUUCUUGGGAGGUCUGGAGUGGGGAAUUCCCAGGUCCUUCUCUUGCUGCUGUGUGUAGGGAGCUUGGGUUCUUGGGGCAGGUUCCCUGCAGCCCCCUAGUUUCCAAACUUCUGCCCAGUGCCAGCUGAGUCUGACAGUCGGAAUUCAAAUCUGGAGCACACCAGGAAAACAUGAGACAUGUCAGAGAACCCAAUGCAAGUCCACCAGACAAAGAGCUGAGAAAAAGAUAGGGGCCCUCAUUAAAAAAAAAAACAAAACUAGCUGUGUCUGGCUCUCCUUUGUUAUUCUUAUGGAAAUACAUUGACAUUCACAAUUUCCAACUCUUUUUUUCCCCCUUUGCAACACAAAACAAAAAUGAAAGUAGUUUAUUUUCUCAUCCCUUACAUCUUCUAACUACCUCUGUCCCUGAGGGUCCCAGCCCCAAGGUACUGUUUCACUGCAGUAUUUUUUGCUCCAUACUAAUCCACCAAACUGAAUUUCCUGUAUUUCCAUACCACAUGGAGAAGGCUAUGUUUAGCUCUUGUACAUUUUAGGUAUCUAUCAAGAUAAAACUUGGACUGCAAGGAGUCUCUGGCAUGCUCAGCCAUAAUGAACGUGCACAGUGACACAAGCAUUUCCUCUCCUUGCUCUGUCUCUGAGUAAAUCACUUCAGUAUUAUUAAUUUCACAUAAAGUUUCCCUGUGCAUGCUCCAGGGACCUGCUAGAGCUCAGUGAAUGUUUGGAAAUGAGCCUUGUGACUUCAUGGCUGUCAACCAUGACCUACAAUGUUCUCAAUGUUCUCCCUUCCUUCAUUAGCCCUGGUUUUGGCCACUUCAUGUAGAGUGUUAAAAACUGGUUGUGUUAAAUACCCAUAAAAUCAUGUCUUUAUCCCACUACCCAGGCCUCUGUUGAGCAGAGAUGAGAAUUGCUUUUUGUGGAGAAUAAACAUGUUGGAAACUA